UUAAGCACAGCGGGCCCGCGGUGCCUGAACAUCAAAAUGCAUUGUGCCGCGGCGAUUGAUUUUCAGAUAAUGACGUCGCGAUGCUUGAAAAGUUUACAAGCCAUUGCAAGCUCUGAGCCGAAUGUUGUCUGCAUUUUGGCAUCGACCAAUCCUUAUAAGUUUAAUGUUCAUAUUAAUAGAUUUGAUAAGACGCGAGCACGAUUUAUGGGUCGUUUAUAGGGGUCAAGUAUGGUGUGUAUCCCCUAAUAAUGGUAUAUAAUGAUCGAUUAUUAACGGUACACGUGACGGCAGAGCAAUUAAAGUGAUCCUAAGACCUCCAACCCACGAACCAAAAGUCUCAAACAGCGAGUCAGUGGCAGCAAUGUUGUCCAUGGGUAACAGAGGUUGAAGGAGACUGCGAGUAGGCUUAAGCACAAUGAAAGGGGGUAAAAACAGAAAAUUCUGCUCGCCUGAAGUCUGCUGUCCGCAAUGCUGUGGUGAUGGUCAGGACUAAGGAAGACUGGUGGAUGCCUGGCACCAGGAGAAGCCUCGGAGAACAGGUGUUCAGAGUGAAAAUUGCAUAUAUGUACACGUGUGGUAAAAAAUGUAACUUUAUUAU